UGAGUACGAGACGCUAAGGCGUCGAAGUAGUGUAUGUCAUACUUCCAAGAAAAGCUUGCACUGUCAUUCAUAAAAAAUGCCUGUACCAUAACCGACACAGGUGGGUAGGUAGAGUAUACUAAGGGGCGCGAGAUAACUCUCUCUAAGGAACUCGGCAAAAUAACUCCGUAACUUCGGGAGAAGGAGUGCCUUAUUUAUAUAAGGUUGCAAUAACAAGAUCCAAGCAACUGUUUACCAAAAACACAGGUCUCCGCUAAGUCGCAAGACGAUGUAUGGGGGCUGACGCCUGCCCAGUGCCAGAAGGUUAAAGAAGUUGGUUAGCAAUAGCGAAGCUAGUAACUGAAGCCCUGGUGAACGGCGGCCGUAACUAUAACGGUCCUAAGGUAGCGAAAUUCCUUGUCGGGUAAGUUCCGACCCGCACGAAAGGCGUAAUGAUUUGGAUACUGUCUCGGAGAGGGACUCGGUGAAAUAGACUUGUCUGUGAAGAUGCGGACUACCUGCACCAGGACAGAAAGACCCUAUGAAGCUUUACUGUAACUUGAAAUUGAAAUUGGACUUUAUUCGCGCAGUAUAGGUGGGAGGCAUUGAAAAUAAUCUUGCGGGAAUAUUGGAGCCAUCAGUGAGAUACCACUCUUGUAAUGUUAGAUUUCUAACUUUGAAUCAUUAUCUGGUCAAAGAACAGUUUCAGGCGGGCAGUUUGACUGGGGCGGUCGCCUCCCAAAUGGUAACGGAGGCGUACAAAGGUUUCCUCUGAACGGGUAGAAAUCGUAUCUAGAGUGUAAAGGCAAAAGGAAGCUUGACUGUGAGACCUACAAGUCGAGCAGGGACGAAAGUCGGUCUUAGUGAUCUGACGGUACUGAGUGGAAAGGCCGUCACUCAACGGAUAAAAGUUACUCUAGGAUAACAGGCUGAUCUCCCCCAAGAGUUCACAUCGACGGGGAGGUUUGGCACCUCGAUGUCGGCUCAUCGCAUCCUGGGGCGGUAGUACGUCCCAAGGGUUGGGCUGUUCGCCCAUGAAAGCGGUACGCGAGCUGGGUUCAGAACGUCGUGAGACAGUUCGGUCCAUAUCCGGUGUAGGCGUUAGAAUAUUGCGAGGAGCCUUCUUUAGUACGAGAGGACCGAGAAGGACAUACCUCUGGUGUACCAGUUAUCGUGCCAACGGUAAACGCUGGGUAGCUAUGUAUGGAGUGGAUAACCGCUGAAAGCAUCUAAGUGGGAAGCCCACCUCAAGAUGAG
rnacentral:rRNA from 1 species